rnacentral:lncRNA from 1 species
GAAAUAUUUAAGAAACUCUUAAAAUCUCAUAGCAUAUCAGAGUUGAAAAUACUUUUGUGGUUAUCUAAUUUACCUUUAUGCAUUUUAACAAUGAGAAACUUAAAGCCAACUUAAAAUAUUUCCCUGUGUUAAUUACACAGUGAUUAAUUGGAGGUAGAGAUACUGGGUUUGGAGCCAGCUCUCCCUCUUAUUAGCUUUUUGACCUUAAAAAAGUUAUUUAACCUCAGUGUCCUCAUCUGCAUGCAAGGGGGAAAUAGUUUCAGUGUAGCUCAUAGGGCUGUUUUCAGUUAAAUGAAAUAAGCCACCAGGUCAGUUCAUUUCAGUAAACUUUAGCUAUUAUUAUGAUGGAGUGUGGAGAAUCGUGAAACAAAUCCUCUCUGAGCUGAUCUGCAAAAUUACAUUUUCAACAGGUGUUCAUGACAUGGAACAAAGCUACUGCACAGAAGCACAGAUGCUCUGGUGGAGCUCUGUGACAUCAGGAACAUCCCUCAACUUUCUGGAUCUCAGGCUCCUGUUGAAUAAAGUGAGGUGGUUGUUUCCAGUCUCUCCCAGCACCAAGAGGCAAUUUAUUUGGAUGCAAAGAUAUGGUGCAGCUCCCGCCUCACUCCUUGUCGUCUAUUAAGUUCAUAAGUGUACUGCACGUUAGUCAGAGAAGUAAUCUAAUUUCACAGUUAAAUAAAGAGCUAAUUUAAAUGACUAUUGAAAUUAAAGUGUUCAUGGAAUUCAUCUGCUGG